UUCCAGACUCCUACGGGAGGCAGCAGUGGGGAAUAUUGCAUAAUGGGGGGAACCCUGAUGCAGCGACGCCGCGUGAGUGAAGAAGUAUUUCGGUAUGUAAAGCUCUGUCAGCAGGGAAGAAGAAAGACGGUACCUGACCAAGAAGCCCCGGCUAACUACGUGCCAGCAGCCGCGGUAAUACGUAGGGGGCAAGCGUUAUCCGGAUUUACUGGGUGUAAAGGGAGCGUAGACGGCGGCGCAAGUCUGGAGUGAAAGCCCGGGGCCCAACCCCGGAACUGCUCUGGAAACUGCGGCGCUGGAGUACGGGAGGGGCAGGCGGAAUUCCUGGUGUAGCGGUGAAAUGCGUAGAUAUCAGGAGGAACACCGGCGGCGAAGGCGGCCUGCUGGACCGUGACUGACGUUGAGGCUCGAGAGCGUGGGGAGCAAACAGGAUUAGAUACCCGCGUAUU
rnacentral:rRNA from 1 species